rnacentral:rRNA from 1 species
UACGUAGGUGGCAAGCGUUGUCCGGAUUUACUGGGUGUAAAGGGCGUGUAGGCGGGCCUGUUAGUCAGAAGUGAAAUCCCCGGGCUUAACCCGGGAACUGCUUCUGAAACUGCAGGUCUUGAGUACUGGAGAGGAAAGUGGAAUUCCUAGUGUAGCGGUGAAAUGCGUAGAUAUUAGGAGGAACACCAGUGGCGAAGGCGACUUUCUGGACAGAAACUGACGCUGAGGCGCGAAAGCGUGGGGAGCAAACAGGAUUAGAUACCCCCGUA